ensembl:lncRNA
AUAAAUCUUUGUUAUUGUGCACUGGUUUCAUGGGGAAAUGCUUAAGAAAUAGCAGAAAAACAGUCAUUUACUGCGUGACAUAAUCCUAUUUCUGAGUUCUAAAUCUUACACUGAAAUCAAUCUUCACUCUUUGCUCUGCAUGUGCACACAAUUCAUCGGUGUGUGGGCGGCCUGAACCCUUUUUCCUCUGAUCUUUUACAUAAUGUCGAUCUUAUUUAACAGCAGCGGGACUAUUUUAAUUGGCCACUUUCAGUCAUGUUAUUUGCCACAAACACACAAGUUCUUACAACCCACACAUUUCACAUACAACAGCCUCAUUCCACUUGCACGCGCACACACACGUGAAGCACAUGCAAACAUACACACGAACAUGUGCAGCAUAUGCACAGUUAAAAAACAGGCUACACACACAAUAAUGGUCUGUGUGGCCUAUAUAGUCGACAGCUACAUGCACAUGACACACAUGACAGCGCACACUCACUGACACACACACACACACACACACACACACACACACACACGAUGCAGCACCCAGAAAAAACAAAACAAGAAGGAGUCUCACAGGUUUCAGCGGCUCCUGCAGAGGUGAUGGAGGGAUGAAGGUGGAGGAGGAGGGAGGAUUAUUGAUCCAAGCUCAUCCCUCUCUCCCCUCCUUCGCUGACGCUACUGUCACCAUCAUCUCUCUCAGAAAAAAAAAAAAAAAAAGAAGUGCUGCUGAUGCUCCGAGGUUUCGCUCUCUUCUUCUUCCUCUUCACCAGAUUACGAUCACUUCAAUCCCUCCUUCUGUUCUCGCUCUCCGUCUUCACGUAUUCCUCUGCUCGCCUCGCCUCGCUGCUGCUGCAGGCCGGAUCCUCUCCUCUUCUUGCUGCCGAGUCAAUCUUUUUCUAAUUAUCAUUCCUCUGCGUCUGACAGCCGAGGGAUCUGCUGCUGAUCUCCCCUCUUCGUCCGCGUGAGCGUGUGAACAAACGAAGCUUUGGUUAAUGUCACCGAUGAAGUAUUCGUUUCUUCUAAUCCUCGGCUAUGUUGCUGUAGAAAGAGGAGGAGGAAGGAGGGGGAGGUGUUGUGUCCAGAAAGGCUGCUUGGAUGGAUGGAUGGAUGGAUGGAUGGAGGAGGUAGAAACCGUAGAGAGGGAGAAAGGAGGGAGGAAGAGUAUGUGUAGGUGAGAGGGAAAAUGUGCACCGUCAAACAGCGACACAUGCAGAAAACACAUCAGCUGCAAGCGCUGGUUUACCGCAC